GUACCCUCAAGCGUAAUUGCUUGGUGUUGGGACUCGCGGUAACCCGCGUUCCCCAAAUCGAUUGGCGGUCACGUCGAGCUUCCAUAGCGUAGUAAUCAUACACCUCGUUACUGGUAAUCGUCGCGGCCACGCCGUUAAACCCCAACUUCUGAA
rnacentral:misc_RNA from 1 species